rnacentral:rRNA from 1 species
UACGUAGGUGGCAAGCGUUAUCCGGAUUUACUGGGUGUAAAGGGCGCGUAGGCGGGACUGCAAGUCAGAUGUGAAAACCACGGGCUCAACCUGUGGCCUGCAUUUGAAACUGUAGUUCUUGAGUACUGGAGAGGCAGACGGAAUUCCUAGUGUAGCGGUGAAAUGCGUAGAUAUUAGGAGGAACACCAGUGGCGAAGGCGGUCUGCUGGACAGCAACUGACGCUGAGGCGCGAAAGCGUGGGGAGCAAACAGG